rnacentral:tRNA from 1 species
GGCGCUAUAGUGUAGUGGUUAUCACUUGGGAUUCUGAUCAGCAGUGUUCCCAAAACCCAGGUUCGAGCCCUGGUAGCGCCU